UUAACCAAAGAAAUCGAAGAGAAACAUCAGGAAAAACGAAUUGAAAGGUAGGGGUUCUUUAGGAGGAUGAGGAGGCACUGGUGAUAUCAGAAUUGAUAAAUUGAAUGAGAACUGCUUCAUUGGCUCAUAUGUGUUGACAUAUAUGAAAGAAAGCAGUGCUGAGAAGUAGAAGUCAACUGAUAAAGA